UACGUAGGUGGCAAGCGUUGUCCGGAAUUAUUGGGCGUAAAGCGCGCGCAGGCGGUCCUUUACGUCUGAUGUGAAAGCACACGGCUCAACCGUGGAGGGUCAUUGGAAACGGGAGGACUUGAGUGCAGAAGAGGAAAGUGGAAUUCCAUGUGUAGCGGUGAAAUGCGUAGAGAUGUGGAGGAACACCAGUGGCGAAGGCGUCUUUCUGGUCUGUAACUGACGCUGAGGCGCGAAAUCGAGGGGAGCAAACAGG
rnacentral:misc_RNA from 1 species